CAUGUAUAUGCUGGAAUGCUUUACAUGUAAAAUGGAUUCGUCUGCCCAAGGAUGGGUCUGCGGCCUAUCAGGUAGUAGUGGGUGUAAUGUACCUACUAGCCUACGACGGGUACGGGUUGUGAGAGCAAGAGCCCGGAGAUGGAUUCUGAGACAUGAAUCCAGGCCCUACGGGGCGCAGCAGGCGCGAAAACUUUACAAUGCGGGAAACCGUGAUAAGGGGACACCGAGUGCCAGCAUCAUAUGCUGGCUGUCCGGGUGUGUAAAAUACACCUGUUAGCAAGGGCCGGGCAAGACCGGUGCCAGCCGCCGCGGUAACACCGGCGGCCCGAGUGGUGAUCGUGAUUAUUGGGUCUAAAGGGUCCGUAGCCGGUUUGGUCAGUCCUCCGGGAAAUCUGACAGCUUAACUGUUAGGCUUUCGGAGGAUACUGCCAGACUUGGAACCGGGAGAGGUAAGAGGUACUACAGGGGUAGGAGUGAAAUCUUGUAAUCCCUGUGGGACCACCUGUGGCGAAGGCGUCUUACCAGAACGGGUUCGACGGUGAGGGACGAAAGCUGGGGGCACGAACCGGAUUAGAUACCCGGGUAGUCCCAGCCGUAAACGAUGCUCGCUAGGUGUCAGGCAUGGCGCGACCGUGUCUGGUGCCGCAGGGAAGCCGUGAAGCGAGCCACC
rnacentral:rRNA from 1 species